rnacentral:rRNA from 1 species
GACAGAGGGGGCAAGCGUUGCUCGGAAUUACUGGGCGUAAAGCGCGCGUAGGCGGUUUUGUAAGUCGGGGUGUGAAAUCCCCAAGCUUAACUUGGGAACUGCAUUCGAGACUGCAUAGCUAGAGUAUGGGAGAGGGAAGUGGAAUUUCAGGUGUAGCGGUGAAAUGCGUAGAUAUCUGAAGGAACAUCAGUGGCGAAAGCGACUUCCUGGACCAAUACUGACGCUCAUGUGCGAAAGCGUGGGGAGCAAACAGGG